GACGAACGCUGGCGGCGUGCCUAAUACAUGCAAGUCGAGCGAACCAAUAAGAAGCUUGCUUUUUGUUGGUGAGCGGCGGACGGGUGAGUAACACGUGUGUAACCUGCUUGUAAGACCGGGAUAACUCCGGGAAACCGGUGCUAAUACCGUAUAGAUUAUCGUUCCGCAGGGAGAGAUGAGGAAAGAUGGCUAUUGCCAUUACUUACACAUCUGACCGCGGCGUAUUUGGUGGUUUGUGGGGUAACGGCUCAGCAAGGCGACGAUGCGUAGCCGACCUGAGAGGGUGAUAGGCGACACUGGGACGGAGACGCGGCCCAGACUCCUACGGGAGGCAGCAGUAGGGAAUCUUCGGCAAUGGACGAAAGUCUGACGGAGCGACGCCGCGUGAGCGAAGACGGUCUUCGGAUCGUAAAGCUCUGUUGUUAGGGAAGAACCAGUAUCGGCGGAAAUGCCGGUACCUUGACGGUACCUGACGAGAAAGCCACGGCUAACUACGUG
rnacentral:rRNA from 1 species